CCAUUAGAACUAUCCUGUAUUCAAGAGGUAUUAGAAACCAACAAUUCUACUGAUUCUGUUAAAGAUGCUAAACCGUUAAAGUCGCCUACAGUCAAGAAGGUAAUCCCUAGCUUUUCUGUCAAAAACGCAUCCUCUGCUAGUAAAAUAACUGCCACCGCCAAGAAACCCUUGGCAGCUGUUAAAAGUAAUCCAACUGUAAUUCCAGGCCGCAACGUUGCUGCUGCUGCCUUUGUACCUAAGAAAACUAUUGCUCUCUCUAAUCAGACUGUAAAUAAUUGCACGAAACCCACCACUAAUGCAACAAAAUUUCUCCCAGCUACUCUAACCCGAAAGCACUUCCAGUUGCACAAAGAACUUUCACUUCUAGCAAAAGUUUAACAGUUCCUAAUUUAAGCACUAAAGCUUCUUCCUCGGCUACAAGUUCAAAAACUGAGAGUGUUACAACUGGUGGGCAAAAGAGUCUCAAGACAACAACAUUCUCAAGUUCCCAAAAAACAGAAGUUGAGUCAGGUACUAAAGUAAAUGAGCUAGAGAAAGAAUCUAUAAGCCCCGUCAAAGCAUCAUUAAAUGUUGAGACCAAAUCACAGGUAGUCUUAAAAGAUGCUAAAAAAACAGCACCAGAUGUGAAAAUCUUAGUGAAGGAUAAUGCUGCAGGAACACAGCCUACUGCACAACAGAAAGACGCCAAAAAGAUGACUGAUGUUCAGAUUCAAACAGACGAGAAGUCUGUUCUAGCUACAAAACCAAAAUUGGUAGAAAAAAACUGAAGAUCCUACCAAAGUCUCAAGGGCAGCUAUAAAAUUUGGUGAAGAAGCAAUUUCCAAACCUGUCAGUCGUCCUGAGGAAAUACCUCAGGAGAACUCUAAAAGCUGCCCUAGUCCUAAGGUUGAAGCGAGUCCUUCAGUGGAUAGCAACAAAAAGCAGCCUGUUAAUAGCAGUCCUGAUCCCACCUACACAAGUAAAGUUAAUACUCAAAAAAUUCUAAGUCAAGGAAAGGAAUCUCUCAAAACAGUCUCAAAUCCUCCUGCCAAGAGUGUAAACACAAAACCAGCCUACUCUAGCCUGGUGCGGAGCCGAACAUCUGUGGAAAUCCGUCCAUCUAAACAUGUAUUGAGUCACAGGAACUCAAUUCCUAGUAACACCUCUAAUAAACAGAUUAUCUCACCCCUAGACAAAGCAUUAGGUCGCAACUUCUUGAAACAAGCAAAGAAUAUUGAUAUAAAAAGCUGCUACAAAUCAGAAGUUGUUCCAAAAAAAACACCUUCCAGCGCUCAGAAAUCUCCAAAACUUAGAAAAACUCCUGAAAAGGAUCCAGAUGGCUGGGAAACAGUUGUUGGACGAUCAAGGCGGAGCAAUCCAUUGACACAAAGUUCCAGCAGUCUCAAAUUGAGGAACAGUGUCACAAAUUGUGAACCCAGUAACCGAUACUAUUUGCCAAGCCCUGCAACAUCCUUACCUGCACUGGCGCUAAGUAUGGAGAAAGAGUCUAAAGAUGUUGAAAAGAAUAACAAACAGCAGAAAAACAAAGAAAAUUGGGAAAUAGCCAAAAUGAAUCAAAGAAAUAAGCUGAAGAGUGUGAAAAACGCAGAGAUGGAAAAGGAUAGACCAAUUAUGAGCCAUCUUGGAGCAGCACGCCAAAGUGCUGUAAAAACCAAGCAAAAGGAUUUGAAAGUUCAAGAUGGAAAAAAGAAAGAUGGUGAUUUGAAAAGAGGAAAGUCUUGAGCAAGGAAAAUGAAAAGAGUAAGGGGGGAAAGAGAAUAAUAGACCAUUCAAAGACGGAAUUAUUGGAAGAUGAAUUAUUGGACAAGGAAGAAAUUCGAAAAAGUAAAGAGCUUGAUGAAGAAGAGAAAAAUCUACAAAAGGAGAUCCAGGUAACUUAUUUCAUUAUUUUUGUAUGUUUAUUUUUGUAUUUUUGUAUGUUUCUUUCCUUUUUGUUUUUAAUGAAGAGGUUCCAAGCUUAGGUAC
rnacentral:lncRNA from 1 species